UACAGAGGGUGCAAGCGUUAAUCGGAAUUACUGGGCGUAAAGCGCACGUAGGCGGUUGGUUAAGUUGGAUGUGAAAGCCCCGGGCUCAACCUGGGAAUUGCAUUCAAAACUGGCCAACUAGAAUACGGGAGAGGGGGGUAGAAUUCCAAGUGUAGCGGUGAAAUGCGUAGAGAUUUGGAGGAAUACCAGUGGCGAAGGCGGCCCCCUGGCCCGAUAUUGACGCUGAGGUGCAAAAGCGUGGGGAGCAAACAGG
rnacentral:rRNA from 1 species